CUUGGAAGUUGGGCUGGCUGUACUGAAAUGGUCAUAGGGUAUAAAUGGGGUGCCCACUGCCACAGCUGCAGCAACCUUGGAAGAUGUUAUAAAGAUACCAUUUUGCAGAUGAUGAAACUGAGGUUCAGAGAGGCCCAAUAGUCGACACAAAACCAAGGUGGGAAUGUGAAUCUGUUUUUCAUUCCGUGACCCUGUGGUGCCCUUCUCUACAGCUGUUCAUCCACAGACCUUCAAAGGAUGUGCCACCAGUCUCAGCUAUGCAGUAAACAGUCCCGGCAAAGGAUCUUUGUGCAGAUUUGUGAUUAAAGGCAAACAAGAUAAUGAGUCCCAGGACCAGGGGAGAGCAGUCCGCACUCUCAUGCAUUCCUCAAUUCACAUGGCCCUGGAAACCUUUCAGUGUGGCAGUGGCUGUGGCAAUCACUCUGCCAACUGCAGAAUAAAGGGUCCUGUCUGGAAAUGCAAUUAUUUCCAAAUAAAAGGUUUUUAAAAGACACACACGAUAGCAUUUUUGGUUUUCAGAAACUGAUAUACCAAAUAAGGACAAAAAUUAACUUUGUAAAAAAUGAAGAUGAUGAAGACAAUGAAGAGAUGGUGAUGAUGAUGAUGGAUGAAGAUUGUGGUGAUAAGCAUGAUGAAUAUAUUGAGAAGGUGAAGAUGAUGAAGAUGAAGAUGGUGAUGAUGAUGGUAGCAGCAACCACCAUUUUCUGAGCACAUAAAUGUGCCACUCACUAUGUUGGCUACUCUAUAGACAUUAUCUCUAAUUAUUACAAUAACCCUGUAAGACAAAGUUUAGCACCUCCAUUUAACACAUGAGAAACUGAAGCUCAGAGAAGUGAAGUAACCUGCCUGAGGUCACAACCUUAGGCAUGAAAAAGGAUUGACAGAGAUUACUGCUUGAAUUAUUACUCCAAAUCCUGUGCCUCUAACCACUAACAUAACCACUUCAUUUGUUUACUCCUUCAUUUAUUUAAAAAAUUUAUUCAUCUAUUGAA
rnacentral:lncRNA from 1 species